GCCCCCUCCCCAAAUAUCGGGGGGUGGGGUCCCCGUGUGCCUUCAGCGCAGGGUGGGGACAGCGGUGGGGGCUUGGGGACACCCCCCACUGCCCGGGCAGCGCUUGGGGACCCCUCCCCAGGGUUUGGGGGCUCCUGGGGACCCCUCCCCAGGGUUUGGGGGCUGCUUGGGGACCCCUCCCCAGGUUUUGGGGGCUCCUGGGGAUGUCUCCCGGUGUUUGGGGACCCCUCCCCAGUGCCCAGGACCCCCUUGGGGACCCCCCCAUGCCCCCCAGGGGGGUCUCAGCACAGCUCAGGGGCCCAGAGCAGGGUGGGGGGCACUUUGGGGUGUCCCCCAGUCACUUUGGGGUGUCCCCCCGGCAUUUUGGGGUGUCCCCGGUCGUUUUGGGGUGUCCCCGGUCACUUUGGGGUGUCCCCCCAUCACUUUGGGGUGUCCCCCCGGCUCUUUGGGGUGUCCCCGGUCGUUUUGGGGUGUCCCCCGGGCAUUUUGGGGUGUCCCCCCGAGCCCAAAGCUUUCCUAUCAUUUUCUAAUUAAAGCCUUUGCCAUUCCAGCCUCGCCGCUCCUUUGGGUUUUGGGGGGUCCGGCAGAAGCUCAUUUAUUGUGGAGCCCCAGCGCGGGGUCUGGGGGUCCCGGGGGGUCCCGGGGGUGUCCCAGGGGGUCCCGGGGGUCCCGGGGGUCACCAGCAGAGCUGCCCCGGGCAGUAUUUAUCGAUGAGGCCCUGGUAGUAACCUCGGAGUUGCUGCACAUCGGGCAGCUCCUCCUGCUUGGUGUACAGGUCAAACUUGCUGCGGGGACAAACAGGGGGGGGUCAGGGCACCCCAAAACCU
rnacentral:lncRNA from 1 species